CAGUAGCCGCGGUAAUACGAGGGGGGCAAGCGUUGUUCGGAAUUAUUGGGCGUAAAGGGUGCGUAGGCGGCUUGACAAGUCUUGUGUGAAAUCUAUGGGCUCAACCCAUAGUCUGCACGGGAAACUGUCGGGCUUGAGAAUGGGAGAGGUGAGUGGAAUUUCCGGUGUAGCGGUGAAAUGCGUAGAUAUCGGAAGGAACACCUGUGGCGAAAGCGGCUCACUGGACCAUUUCUGACGCUGAUGCACGAAAGCUAGGGGAGCAAACAGGAUUAGAGACCCCGGUAGUCCCUGUCUCUUAUAC
rnacentral:rRNA from 1 species